UUUGUACUCCCUCCAAUCCAAAAUUCUUGUCUUAAAUUUGUCUAAAUACGGAUGUAUCUAGUUACAUUUUAGUGUUAGAUACAUUUGUAUCUAAACAAAUGUAAGACAAGAAUUUUGGGACGGAGGGAAUACCAC
rfam:Triticum aestivum genome assembly, contig: Triticum_aestivum_CS42_TGACv1_scaffold_582433_7BL